CGCAGCUGCCCCACCCAGGAUCCUGAACCUCAGGGCCGAAAGGGAGAAGUCGCCCCGCGGGGCGGGACAGGCGCUCUCGGAGCGAGCGGCGAAGGGAGAGUGGCGGCGGUUACAGGCAGAAAGGAAGCUGGAACGCUGCCACCAAUUCCAGAGGCCUGAACAUCUAGGAGAGGGUAGAAGAAAUGUGGUCUUUGACUUACUUGUAUCAGUAGAUAUCAACCUUUUUGGUCGCUGGCCAUUGGUCCACAUAGGAUGUCAGUCUGAAGUCACUGGAAGUUUCUGAGUAGAUGAGACUAUGAUCUGACAUAUGUGGAAGAUAGACUCUAGGGAGUUUAAAAGUAAGAACAAGGAGACUAUUUAGAUGGCUGUUGCAUAAUCCAGGUCUCACUCCGUCCCCUCAGAGGCUGGAGUACAGUGGUGUCAUCAUGGCUCAAUGCAGC